rnacentral:rRNA from 1 species
UACGGAGGGGGCUAGCGUUGUUCGGAAUCACUGGGCGUAAAGCGUGCGUAGGCGGCUAUUCAAGUCAGAGGUGAAAUCCCAGGGCUCAACCUUGGAACUGCCUUUGAAACUAGGUAGCUGGAACACGGGAGAGGUGAGUGGAAUUCCGAGUGUAGAGGUGAAAUUCGUAGAUAUUCGGAAGAACACCAGUGGCGAAGGCGGCUCACUGGACCGUUGUUGACGCUGAGGCACGAAAGCGUGGGGAGCAAACAGG